rnacentral:rRNA from 1 species
CAAUAGCGUAUAUUUAAGUUGCUGCAGUUAAAAAGCUCGUAGUUGGAUUUCGGGUGGGAAUGGCCGGUCCGCCGUUUCGGUGUGCACUUGCUACGCCCACCUUGCUGCCGGGGACGUGCUCUUGAGUUCACGCUCGGGACACGGAGUCGGCGAGGUUACUUUGAGUAAAUUAGAGUGUUCAAAGCAGGCCUACGCUCUGAAUACAUUAGCAUGGAAUAACACGAUAGGACUCUGGCCUAUCUUGUUGGUCUGUAGGACCGGAGUAAAGAUUAAGAGGGACAGUCGGGGGCAUUCGUAUUUCAUUGUCAGAGGUGAAAUUCUUGGAUUUAUGAAAGACGAACUACUGCGAAAGCAUUUGCCAAGGAUGUUUUCAUUAA